UACGUAGGGGGCAAGCGUUGUCCGGAUUUAUUGGGCGUAAAGAGCGUGUAGGCGGCCAGGUAGGUCUGCUGUGAAAACUCGAGGCUUAACCUCGAGAUGUCGGCGGAAACCAUCUGGCUAGAGUCCGGAAGAGGAGAAUGGAAUUCCUGGUGUAGCGGUGAAAUGCGCAGAUAUCAGGAAGAACACCCGUGGCGAAGGCGGUUCUCUGGGACGGUACUGACGCUGAGACGCGAAAGCGUGGGGAGCGAACAGG
rnacentral:rRNA from 1 species